rnacentral:rRNA from 1 species
UACGUAGGUGACAAGCGUUGUCCGGAUUUACUGGGCGUAAAGAGCGCGCAGGCGGUCGAUCAAGUCGAGUGUGAAAUCCCUCAGCUUAACUGGGGAACUGCGUCUGAUACUGGAUGGCUUGAGUUUGGGAGAGGGAUGCGGAAUUCCAGGUGUAGCGGUGAAAUGCGUAGAUAUCUGGAGGAACACCGGUGGCGAAGGCGGCAUCCUGGACCAACACUGACACUGAGGAGCGAAAGCCAGGGGAGCAAACGGG